UCAAAACUUUCAACAACGGAUCUCUUGGUUCUGGCAUCGAUGAAGAACGCAGCGAAAUGCGAUAAGUAAUGUGAAUUGCAGAAUUCAGUGAAUCAUCGAAUCUUUGAACGCACAUUGCGC
rnacentral:rRNA from 1 species